GCGCCCUUAGCUCAGCUGGUUAGAGCACUUCGUUUACACCGAAGGGGUCGGCGGUUCGAAUCCGUCAGGGCGCACCA
rnacentral:tRNA from 1 species